UCCACUUACUUUUUUAGAGAUGGACAUGCAACAUGUAAUUUUCAGCUGUGAAUCUGAUAUCUCUCUGAAAUGGAAAAACAGGAAAAGGGAACAAAAUGGGAAAACCAAUCAGGGAAAUGGAAAGUGUUACAAAUGGAGAAGCACAGCCCCUUUGAAGUGCCCUUGAGGGUGGCAUACAGUCUGGUAUAACCAAAGAAAGGUAUAGUAUAAUGUUACAUUUGGAAUAAGAAUAGCUCCACAGCUCUGGGAAAAAGGAUUCAAAACUUCUCAGACCUUUCUGCUGGUCUUCUCCACUGGAUCCCCCCCUCAACACACACAUGCAGACAUGUAUGAAUGCCUGUGUGCAGUCGUGCUCAGGCAGUGAGAUUGCAGGUGACUGCAAGGAGAGGGCUUGGCUUUGUGUUCCCAGCUCAACACGGGUG
rnacentral:lncRNA from 1 species